GGAGGGGAGAAACAACAACCAUAUGUCUUUAUUUCCUGUUAGCUCCAUUUCUGGCCUUUGGUCUCUUUCUCGGAAAGCAGGCCUCAGUGGCCUCAGUUUCUUCCCAGAACCUGCAAUGCCCCACCAAGGUGACAAGAAGUGCAAGGAGUCGGUUUUCACUGCCAACCAAAGAGGUGACCCCCGCAAAGCAACCAUGUUGGGACAGUCCAUUUGCUGCGUUUUGAUUAUUUGCUAAGAGCAAAUACCUUUUCUGUUUGGGUUUUGCUUUUAGAAAAAAAAUGUGGCAGAUGGUGGUGGCUUUCCCCGUCAUUGAAAGAAGAAAGGAGCAUCUUUGAAAGCUGAGCUAGAGGCGGAGCAACUGGUAAACCAGAUGUCCCAAAUUUCUAGCGCUUAGAGGAAGCAUCUGGGAUUGAGCCAUCUCACAUCUGUCUAAUCACAUUCAUUCAAAUGUGAUGGGCCCAACUGGCCUACGUACAUGGCUGCAUAUCACCAUGGGUGGAAAUUAAAUCAGAAUUUGGCUCAGGAGAGAGAUGAAGAGAAAAUGCACGUAGAUAAUUGGCUCAGAUAACAUUCUGUUUCUGGAAGUCACAAAGAGUGGAAAUUGGAAUAUGUAAAUUAAAGAAAAACAGGUAAGAAUUCACAUGAACCCCAACCACACACCCUGUGUAUGUUCUCAUUCUCAUUCUCUCUAUGGUGCCUGUGAGCAGUUGGAGUUUGAAUUUUUCAGUCAGUAAGGUUUGCUGUUUAUUCGAGGGCUGCUCCUAAAAAAUAAUCAGGUCUAGUCAAGAAUAUAGAAAAGUGAAAUUAUGCAUAUUUUCCUGGGGAAUAUAAUAGAUGUUCUCAUAGUCUUACAAUGUAAAAAAAAUGAAGGUAAGACUCUAGCUCCCUUUCUUCUAUCUUUCUGGCCUCAUUUUAGGCUAAUAUUUUCUUUUGCAACCAUAUACCAAAUUAUUACAUAUGGAAGCUGUGAAACUGAAGGUUCUGUAAAACUUUAAAGCCAGAGAACUUAUGACUCCUCCAUAUAGGAAGAGAAAUGGGAGAAUAUUAGGCUGUUUUUAAUACUGGGCAUCUGGUAUUUUUCAGUCCUUAAGAUCAAGUCCGCAAUGGAAGAAGAGCAUUCAUCUGGUACAGGUUGAUGAUUGUGUAAGCCCAAGGAGUGAUGUCAACACUGGGGUUCACCUGAGAACAUGGACAUGGUUGAUGAGGGUUUAGGAGAUGCUCAUACGAAGUCUUCAUAUGUUCCCUGGAUCCCAGCUCUGCCUUCCCACCAGAGAGGAUGUAAUUCAGCCGAGAUGCCCAGAGUCAGCUCUCUGCUCAUAUCUGUUCCGCACUGAAGCCAAUCAUCUGAGAAACCUAAGAAGUGUUUAAUGUAGUUAGGAAAGUGAGGGAUGAAGACCAUAAAUUCCUUUUCAUGUAGCAGAGUAUAUAUGUGAUACUCAUUCUGUGGUAUUUGGGGCAUAAACAAGAGUCGAUGAAGGAAUGUGAAAGUACUCGAAAUCCUGACUUUUAUCUCUAUAAAAAUGGCAUAGGGAUGAAACACACUUGGUUGUUAUGACUGUACUCUUUUCAGAUUUACUACUUGCCUUUCUACUGAUUUUUCUGUGCCACAGGUCUUGACUCCUGUAGGCUAAAUUUCUCAGCCUCUUCUGCUCACUGAUAUAUGGGAAGGUUUGGCCAAAGGUGGGUGACUGGUGGGGAGAAGGAUGAGGGAAUUCAGGGGAUUGCUGAGCCCAUUCUCUAGACAGUGCUGCUGGCACUGGCUCUGUCUUCUCCGUUUCCAUCUCGCAUCAGACGGUUCUUCCCUCUAUGGGCCUAGUCCUACCUAGACACUUUCCAGUUGGAUUCCAGUUCUGGGGAUGCUCCCUCCUGCAGGGAUCUAAGUCCUUCCCAUUGUCUUCGGCUCCUGGGCUCAGCUAGAACCAUCUUUUCCCAUUGUCCCUGUGGUGCUAGGGCUUUCAGUGGUUAUUAACGUCUGUGUUGUAUCAUCUUGCCUGAAUUUCAGCUCUCUGUAACCAGUUCCCCAAAUAAAAUUCCCCCCAUUUACCUACCUUCUGUGAGUCUGUUUGCCUGACAUGACCGUAUUAAGUAUACCCGAUAUAUUAGUGAGCUUCGGAUGAUAUCACAAUGUGCCGUAGACUGGGUGGCAUAAAAAACAAAGGAAUGUAUUUCUCAUUGUUCUGGAGCUGGGAAGUCCAAGAUAAAGGUGCUAGCCAAUUCUAUUUCUGAUGAGGGCUCUCUUCCUGGCUUGUGGAUGGCCACCUUGUCACUCUAU
rnacentral:lncRNA from 1 species